GGGGGGGGGGGUCAAUUACAGUGCAGUUAUGUAUGAGUGCACAAGUUAGCAUAUACAGACAGGUACGCAUCUGUGGAUCAACCAGAUAGCCUCUGUUGCCGCGGGGCAGAAGUGGGCUGGGCUGGGCGGGCGACGCAUUGUGGUCUGGAGCAGAGAGAACUCGGGAAACUAGCUUGCAUCACAGCAAUGAAGACGAAGAUCAUCAUCCAUUUUCAGGGUUUCCGCUCUUUUCUUGAAAUUAUUUUCCAGGACUUCUUACGGCUUUUUAUCUGCUAUACUAUGAGCCAAGUUAUCACAACAUACACAAAUAAAUUCCCCCACAAGC